GAAUGACUCUCGGCAACGGAUAUCUCGGCUCACGCAUCGAUGAAGAACGUAGCAAAAUGCGAUACUUGGUGUGAAUUGCAGAAUCCCGUGAACCAUCGAGUUUUUGAACGCAAGUUGCGCCCGAAGACAUCUGGUUGAGGGCACGCCUGCCUGGGCGUCACG
rnacentral:rRNA from 1 species